UGGGUAACCUGCCCCUCUCUCUGGGAUAACCCGGGAAACCGGAGCUAAUACCGGAUACUCCGGUUGGAUCGCAUGGUCCGGCCGGGAAAGGUCCGCCGGAGAGGGAUGGGCCCGCGGCCUAUCAGCUUGUUGGUGAGGUAACGGCCCACCAAGGCGACGACGGGUAGCUGGUCUGAGAGGAUGAUCAGCCACAUUGGGACUGAGACACGGUCCAGACUCCGUACGGGAGCA
rnacentral:rRNA from 1 species